rnacentral:misc_RNA from 1 species
AGCUGGAUCAUUUUUCCGAUGAUUUAUUCACAACCUUAAAAAACAAUCGAGAGAGAAUCUUAUUCUCUUCUCACACAAAAACAAAACAAAUUGCCGCUCGACGGGAUAUUCUCUCCGGGUCGACGACGGCUCACACAACGUGUCGCGAUGGAUGACUUGGCUUCCUAUUUCGUUGAAGAACGCAGCAAAGUGCGAUAAGUGGUAUCAAUUGCAGAACCAUUCAAUUACCGAAUCUUUGAACGCAAAAGGCGCCCGGGAGAAGCUCCUCAAGAGCCAUCCCCGUGCAUGCCGCAUUUCUCAGUGUCGAACAAAAAUUCUCUCAAAAAGAAAACAAAAUAAAAGAGUAGUCUCCGGUUGGGGUGCAGUCCUUCACUGGACACGACCUCUCAUAUAUAUCCACCGGGGCGCUGUUGGCUCAAUCCUCAACGACCCUUUCCCUUCUUCUCGAAGAGAAAGUCUCGUGCCAACCAAGGUUUCUUCACCGAAACCGUCAAACCCUUUUUCUUCUUUCGCGAAGAACAAAGGAAAAACUCAACGUUUUUCUUUAUUUCCGAAAAAGAUAAAAAAAUACAAAAGAAAACACUCUUUUUAUAUUACAUUUACAGACCUGAGUGCGGCAGGGCUACCCGCCGAACUUAAGCAUAUUACUCAGCGGAGGAAAAGAAAACAACCGUGAUUCCCUCAGUCAGCGGCGAGCGAAGAGGGAUCCAACUCGUUGCCGAAUCGGGCCUCAAAGGUCUUGAGUUGUGGCACAAACGCUGCUCUGUGAUUGGUGCGGGAGUGGUGAAAUUCAAUGUGCAAAGCAAACCCAUUGCUGAACACAACCCUUCAUGUGAGUAUUGAGCCAAAGAAGGUGUUAGCCCAUUGAGCCACAAACCCGAGCACCUCAUUGAGUAGUGCCAAGAGAGUAGCACUGUUUGGGAAUGCAGUGUCAAUCGGCAGGUAUGUGUCUGCCAAAGUUAAAUACAGAGUAGGAAGACCGAUAUCGAACAAGUAGCGUGAGCGAAGUUUGAAAAGCACUUUGGAAAGAGAGUGACAUAGAACCUGAAGUCGUGACAAUGACAAUGGAAGUGCCUCCAUUUCAUCGGCCAGAACCACCCUCAAAGCAUUAUCCCGGGGCGGGUUAAAAAAUCCUCUGGGCAAAUAACUGCUAGAAACCGAGGGCCUUUGGUGAAAUGAGCGGAGAUAUAAGGGCGCUGGCACCCCCAAAAGGGGCGAGCCUUGGCGUUCUUCUCCGUGACGCUCAAUGCUGGCGACGGAAAAUGGGGUGCCUCCACCCGUCUUGAAACACGGACCAAGGAGUCAAACAGACGCGCAAGGGAGAAGAUAUUGUUGCCAGUACUUCUCUCGUACUGAAAGGGAGGUUCCUUCUGGGACCAUUGGUGUGCACGCAAAACGAACGCUCAGCACCAACCGGCCCCUCUCUUGGGGUUGAGUUUGAGUGUGCCUGUUUGGACCCGAAAGGUGGUGAACUAUGCCUGAACAAGGUGAAGCCAGGGGAAACCCCGGUGGAGGCCUGUAGCGAUGCUGACGUGCAAAUCGCUCGUAUGAUUUGGGUAUCGGAGCGAAAGACUCAUCGAACCACCUAGUAGCUGGUUCACGU